AGCUUUGCGCAGUGGCAGUAUCGUAGCCAAUGAGGUUUAUCCGAGACGCGAUUAUUGCUAAUUGAAAAAGUUCAUAGAAGAAUGGAAUUAAAGUAUAAGUUUAUUACAGAGCAAAAAAAGUUUGAAAUUUAAGCAUUAUCUUUUCAUA